CCUCCGCCCUCGCCCCUCCCGUCGGCGACCUUGCCUCCUCCUCCUGAAGUCCUCGGACAACCUCUCCUACCCUCUAUUGCUUCGUUCCUAGGUCCGCUGCUGCUCAUUGCCGACGCCCGACGCCGUCCUCCCUCCUAUCGCCUCGCGCGCGACAUUCUCUCCCGAUGUCGUUCUGAGGCCGUGGAAGAUCUAUAGGGGGCCGCGGGAGAGGUCGUGGCUUUGGGCACGACCACCCAGCUAAACACGCGCCGGCGCGCCGCACGAGGACUUCCCGACAAUGAAGACAAAGAGAUUGAAAGAUUUUCUGAUACAAAGCAAACGUGAAGCUCUUGCGUUAUAUCUCAAACUGGAUCUAGAAGAGGGCAAGCAGGCAACAAUAAACUCCGGUGGGAUAAGGAUUCAGAUGGACUGAUGGAGGAUAGGGCAAAUGUGGGAAACCAGUUACCGUCUGCAGAGAGCCGACCAAUUUAGCUUUCACUUUCGCCUCUUCAUCCCUAUCAAAUCCUUGUAUUUUGCUCUCUUCAUUCAAAUUGUAAAUUGUUCUGACUUUUGUUUUUAUAUAUGCAGUUUUUGCUAUACGCUUA